rnacentral:rRNA from 1 species
CAGUCGCCGCGGUAAUACGAGGGGGGCAAGCGUUGUUCGGAAUUAUUGGGCGUAAAGGGUGCGUAGGCGGUUUGGCAAGUUUGGUGUGAAAUCUUCGGGCUCAACUCGAAGUCUGCAUCGAAAACUGCCGGGCUUGAGUAUGGGAGAGGUGAGUGGAAUUUCCGGUGUAGCGGUGAAAUGCGUAGAUAUCGGAAGGAACACCUGUGGCGAAAGCGGCUCACUGGACCAUAACUGACGCUGAUGCACGAAAGCUAGGGGAGCAAACAGGAUUAGAUACCCCAGUAGUCCCUGUCUCUUAUAC